rnacentral:rRNA from 1 species
UACGGAGGGAGCUAGCGUUGUUCGGAAUUACUGGGCGUAAAGCGCACGUAGGCGGCUUUGCAAGUUAGAGGUGAAAGCCCGGAGCUUAACUCCGGAAUUGCCUUUAAAACUGCAUCGCGAGAAUUGUGGAGAGGUGAGUGGAAUUCCGAGUGUAGAGGUGAAAUUCGUAGAUAUUCGGAAGAACACCAGUGGCGAAGGCGACUCACUGGACACAUAUUGACGCUGAGGUGCGAAAGCGUGGGGAGCAAACAGG